rnacentral:rRNA from 1 species
UACGUAGGGUGCAAGCGUUAAUCGGAAUUACUGGGCGUAAAGCGUGCGCAGGCGGUUUGGUAAGACAGAUGUGAAAUCCCCGGGCUUAACUCGGAAAGGUCAACUGAUACUGUGCGACUAGAGUGCAGAAGGGGCAACUGGAAUUCUCGGUGUAGCGGUGAAAUGCGUAGAUAUCGAGAGGAACACCUGCGGCGAAGGCGGGUUGCUGGGCUGACACUGACGCUGAUGCGCGAAAGCCAGGGGAGCGAACGGG